UUGUCUAGAUAUCAAAACACCAGAACACCCA
rnacentral:piRNA from 1 species